GAUGAACGCUGGCGGCGUGCCUAAUACAUGCAAGUCGAGCGAAUGGAUUAAGAGCUUGCUCUUAUGAAGUUAGCGGCGGACGGGUGAGUAACACGUGGGUAACCUGCCCAUAAGACUGGGAUAACUCCGGGAAACCGGGGCUAAUACCGGAUAACAUUUUGAACCGCAUGGUUCGAAAUUGAAAGGCGGCUUCGAUUGUCACUUAUGGAUGGACCUGCGUCGCAUUAGCUAGUUGGUGAGGUAACGGCUCACCAAGGCAACGAUGCGUAGCCGACCUGAGAGGGUGAUCGGCCACACUGGGACUGAGACACGGCCCAGACUCCUACGGGAGGCAGCAGUAGGGAAUCUUCCGCAAUGGACGAAAGUCUGACGGAGCAACGCCGCGUGAGUGAUGAAGGCUUUCGGGUCGUAAAACUCUGUUGUUAGGGAAGAACAAGUGCUAGUUGAAUAAGCUGGCACCUUGACGGUACCUAACCAGAAAGCCACGGCUAAUUACGUGCCAGCCGCCGCAGUAA
rnacentral:rRNA from 1 species